AGUACUUUCUCCUUCAUUUUGGGAACAACACAAGAGUUCGGUGAAUUCAGAAAGCGUUGCUCUUUGUACAAUAAUGUGAUUUUUAUUCUACAUUGUUAUUACUUUUAUGUUCGAUUUCAAGUUUGCUUCUAAUACCGUCAGCGAAAUCGUAGCUGUUCCAAAAAUUAUUCUUGCCUACUGAAGAUUUGUGUUUCAUUUGUUGGAAAUAUAGCAUGGAACUAGGUAAGUGUUUGUAGUCAGGCAAGGCAAAGAGUGCACCAUUGUUCCGUUCCGCAUGCUAGUGAUUUAUGGCUUACGAAAGUUUCUCCUUCUAGGAUGACUUCUUAAUGCGAACGAAAAACUAAACACAAUGCUAAAUCUCUACUCACCACAUGUGAGCUCGGACAUUUGUUGUGCAUAUUCAGCCAUUUGUAGAGUUUGUGGCUGAAAUCCCACUGUUUUUCAAGUAAGCUUCUCCUAUAUCUGCAGUGAAGUUAACGCGUAACAAAUUGGUGACGGGUGCUGGAUGCCGACGACAACAACGGAGCUCCGCUGAAGUCGUCGCCUAGGACUGGAAAACAUCACGGACGAAACAGGACCCGACGUGGUACGGCCCACAUCAACGCCCACAUAACUCCGACGGCUGUGCUGGCUCAGCCGCGGGUUCCAGGAGCGUUCUGCGGCACCAACCACCUCCACAUGGAAAACUACAUCGCCCUGUAUGAGCGUGUAACCGCCCACAACAGCCAGGAUCCGACGAUUAUAUUGGCUAACUUGGUCGCCUACCUACAAGGUCCGGCGAAGGUAUGGUAUGACAACCAUGAGGAAGAGCAUAAUGACUGGGACACGUGCAAACAGAAGCUGAGGGACCUAAUCGGCCGUCCCGCCUCGCAGAAUAGCAGUGCUAAUAAAGAACUAGUGACCCACGCCCAGGCGUCCGCACAGUCAUACGUCUCUUAUAUCCAGGAAAUGCUGGCUGUGUGCCGUAAAGCCAGCAACAAUAUGGCUGUGUCAGGCAAGGGUGGGCAUGUACUGAAGGGGAUGGCUGAUGAUGCUUUCAGCUUGCUCAUGUGAAAAAAUUGUGAAACAGUACAAGACAUCAUAAAAGAGUGUCAACGCUUUGAGUAGGCCAUGAGAAGCCGCAUUGCAGCGUCGUUCGCACGUGUGCAGAACACAGCUACGACAUCAUCUUGUGAUGACAGGCUAUGAGUGAAGAGCUAUAGGCUAUAGUGCACCAAGAACUUGAAGCCAUGGCUCUUGCAGUCCUUUUUUCCCGUCGCAGUGAACCGAACAACUUGCCUACAUCACCAUUUGUGCAAGAAAUAGUGCACGAAGAACUCGCUUACCUUGGAGUUCAUUCUGCAUGUGCCGUCGCCACUUCUAUGCUGUCUCACGCUCCAGGUCCACCGAGUAGUCCGCGGUAUCCUACACGCUGCCGAAACCCAGCCGAGUGGAGAACCGCAAACGAUCGGCCAAUCUGUUUGUACUGCCAGCACAUUGGUCACGUUGCUCGCUCUUGUAAUAAAGGUACUGUCUCCUCCCCUCUA